rnacentral:lncRNA from 1 species
AUUUUAUAGCAUUAUUGUUGAUGGUUUGUUCAUGUUUCAUACUAGUGUGGAAGUAGGUUGAGUUUAGGGGAGUGUUGUAGUACAAAUGUAAUUCGCAUGUACUCAUAGACAUCGCAGAUCUAUAGACGCCUAAGAAAGUGUCGUAGUACAAAUUAGCUCGCAUCUACUCCUAAAUUGUAAAACUCGGGAGAGUUUCAUGGUACGAAUGUAGCCCGCAGGUACUCC